rnacentral:lncRNA from 1 species
GGUGCAGCCGCGGGAGACUGUUGUCUGUCGUCGGGUCGCUCGUCUCUUCAGACAGUGCUACUGUCGUCUCCAUGUCACCAAGGAAGAGACUGAAGUUCCAGGAAACAGUCCCACUUGUUUAUGGUCACACAAUGUUGGCAGAAGACAUGAAACUCCUUGGUCAGAGAAAAGGGUUCUGUCAUUCACAGCACACAACUUCAAAUAAGGUAUCUCCAGUGCCAUCCAACCCGGCACCUCAAAGAAGCCAGCUCACUGCAUAUUUGAAGUUGUUGCAUGGGCUUACAAAGACUAUGAAGAGGAGAGAACACCAUCGACAUCCCUCUUUUCUUUGUCCAUUCCCCUUCUUCCAUCUGUAUUCUAUUUAUCUCCCCUUCUUGCCUCCAAGUCUCUGCUGUCUCUUACCACAACAUCUCUGUAGUGACUUCGCUUUUGCUGGUCUAUUUAUACUCAGAAGGUUUGCUGACUACAUCACUUCCAUCUGUUCUGGAUGAUUAAAUUUUUUCUUAUAUUCUGACCAGGCCAUAA